rnacentral:rRNA from 1 species
UACGGGGGGGGUAAGCGUUGUUCGGAAUUACUGGGCGUAAAGGGCUCGUAGGCGGCCAACUAAGUCCGAUGUGAAAGCCCUGGGCUCAACCUGGGAAUGGCACUGGAUACUGGAAGGCUAGAGUACGGUAGAGGAGGGUGGAAUUCCCGGUGUAGCGGCGAAAUGCGUAGAGAUCGGGAGGAACAUCAGUGGCGAAGGCGGCCCUCUGGACCAGUACUGACGCUGAGGCACGAAAGCGUGGGGAGCAAACAGG